GGCAUAUCAGGAUUCACCAGGAACAGUCGGUCAAAUUCGAAUGUAAAAAUAUCAAAAAUCCAAAGAAAAUAAAACUCCAAAAAAUGUAUACUUGGUUAUAUAUCGAUUAUUUAGGGUCCUCCACCAUAUUACAGACUAGGGGAAUAGCUCUGGUAGCAUUGAUGGAAGCGAUUACAUACAGACACAUAAAAACACAUCAGCUUCCAUUUCUAC
rnacentral:lncRNA from 1 species